GUUCAACGGCCGCGGUAUAAUAACCGUGCAAAGGUAGCGUAAUCACUUGUCUUCUAAAUAGAGACCAGCAUGAAAGGCUAAUUGAGGGUCCGACUGUCUCCUAUGGCUAAUCAAUGAAACUGAUCUCUCAGUCCAAAAGCUGAGAUAAACCCACAAGACGAGAAGACCCUGUGGAACUUAAAACCGCAUGUUAGCCCCCAUAUCAAAAUCCACGGACAAAAGCACCCCGCGCAUAACAUACGAAUUUUAGUUGGGGCAACUAUGGAGAAAAACAAAACCUCCACGAAAAAGGCCACACCCCUGCACAAGGCACACACGCCUAAUGCCCACAAUACAUUGACCCAGUAUAACUGAUAAUCGAACCAAGCUACCCCAGGGAUAACAGCGCCAUCCCCCUCAAGAGUCCAUAUCGACAGGGGGGCUUACGACCUCGAUGUUGGAUCAGGACACCCCGGUGGUGAAGCCGCUACUAAAGGUUCGUUUGUUCAACGAUUAAAGUCCUA
rnacentral:rRNA from 1 species